AUUGAACGCUAGCGGCAGGCCUUACACAUGCAAGUCGAACGAGUGGCGGACGGGUGCGUAAUAUCUGGGAAACUGCCCAGUGGCGGGGGAUAACUACUGGAAAGAGUAGCUAAUACCGCAUACCAUCAGAUCUGCCCAGAUGGGAUUAGCUAGUUGGUGGGGUAACGGCUCACCAAGGCAACGAUCCCUAGCUGGUCUGAGAGGAUGACAAGCCACACGGGGACUGAGACACGGUCCAGACUCAUACGGGAGGCAGCAGUGGGGAAUUUUGGACAAUGGGGGAAAGCCUGAUGCAGCCAUGCCGCGUGUAUGAAGAAGGCCUUCGGGUUGUAAAGUACUUUCAGCAGGGAGGCGUUACCCGCAGAAGAAGCACCGGCUAACUCCGUGCCAGCCGCCGCGGUAAUAC
rnacentral:rRNA from 1 species